AUUCAGCUGACGAGUCCCAAAUAGGACGAAGUAGCGGGUAUCCUGGAU
rnacentral:hammerhead_ribozyme from 1 species